AUACUUACUUGGCAGGAGAGAUGCCAUGAUCACAGAGGUUUGUCAAGGGUGAGGCUUAUCCACUGCACUCUGGAUGUGCUGGCCCCCGCGAUCUCCCCAAAUACGGGAAACUCCACUGUGGUAGUGGGGGACCGCAUUCACGCUCUCUCCUG
rnacentral:snRNA from 1 species